GUCGCUGUCGCACGUUACUAGGAAACUCAUGGAUUCUUGUGCGUGUGACAGUGACUA
rnacentral:pre_miRNA from 3 species